rnacentral:lncRNA from 1 species
GCAAUUCAAACUCCCCCUUUCUUGUGACUAUUUCUUCCACUUCAAAUCCAUGGUGCUGGCAGUUGGAUCAAGUUGAUGGAUAUUCGGUGCGUGGUGCAUAUUUGUUACUCCUUAGGCGAGAGCCAUCUCAUUUUACCGUUGUUUUGGAUCUUAUUUGGAAUAAAGAUGCCCUCACAAUAAAAAGUUUUGUGUGAGUGGUGCGGUCACAUUGAAACAACUAAUCAUCUGUUUUUAUCUUGUAAUAUAUUUGGUCAUUUUUGGGUUUUGGUGCAUAAUUUGUUGGGUUU